UGUGUAUGACCAACCGCCUUGAGGAUGUCUGAGGCUAAGCUAAGCAGGGUUGGGACUGUAUAGUACUUGGAUGAGAGACUGCUGGGAAUAUCAGGUGCCACAA
rnacentral:rRNA from 1 species